UGAGAACUAUCAGCCACAUCCUCCUUUAUA
rnacentral:piRNA from 1 species